UCCAUGAGCCCAUGCAGGCCCGUGCUCUCACCCAGGCUGUGGGCAUUCGGGCUCACGUGGCUCCUGGGAUGGCCCCAAUUCAGGCACAAGCCUAAUCUGGGGAUAGACUCUGGUCUCCCCGAGAAUGUAAGAUAACUAACACAGGACUGAUACACUCAUGGAAGCAACAAUGAAUUAGAUGGUUCCCUUCUGACGGUUCUUCCAGAAACUUGUUCCAAUGGAGUAAUGGUGGCUGGUUGGUGAAUGAGCUUCACCCGGGGAAGCUGUCAGCUGCCAACGAUCGUUGAUGAGUGACAGAUGCUGAAGGCUCACAUUCCUGUUGCCCGUGGACCGACUGAGAGAAGGACAGCUAAUUCACUGCAGAUGAGGUCCACUGCUGGCCAGGACUCUCAGAGACAGAGAGAGGACCCAGUCCGAAGUGCCCAGUGUUUCCCAGCUUCACUUAAUUGUUUCCUGAACAUAUCUGCAUCCCCUUGUUUCCGAGUGUUUGCUCAGGCUGUUCCCACUGCAUGGAAUGCCGUCCUCCGACCUCUGUCCUUGGACAUCCUCAGCGUCUCCACAAAGUCUCCAGACACCCACCACCAUUAUGAUCUCCCUCCCCACAUUACAACAACACAUUUCUCGAUGUGUGCACAAGACCGCAUAUAUUUUGCUCUAA